GCGUCUGCCUCAGCCACCGUGGUGGGUGACGAAACUCGCGCAUGCUACAGAUAACAUUUCGCGGCACCUUGCGCCAGUCCCAGUUAUAUAUCGUGCGUGUCGAACGGAAGCGAGCGAAAAAAGCAUGACCGCGAACAAGAAAGGAAGCGCGUGCGCAUAGCGUGAGUCUUGGAGCAGCAACGUGCGUGAGAAGGCGCAGCCAGUCUUUUCGGCAGGCGCUCCCGUGCCCCGCAAACUUUUGCUCCCGACUGUACGUCGGCCGAUGCUCGUGUCGGUGCACAUCUCAAUCUCAACUAAACAUCGAGCGCCGAUUGUGGCUGACUCCAUGCAUAUGAGACAUCACUGCAAAAGAUGCCAGAAAAAGUUUACAUCAUUGGACACGUUCUUCAAGCACACAUUAUAUCAUGAAACAUCAUCAAGAGGUGUUCCAUGCAGCGUUGUCGGCUGUGAGGCUGCAUUCAAAAAUUACAACUCAUUGCGAAGCCACAUCACAAGGUGUCAUUCUCCGCUUGCACCUCGUAAUGCAACUAACUUCCAAUCCUGCCGGACAUGCAGUGUUAGUUCCUGCAGUGAAGAGGCUUACAGGUGUCUGUCUGGACGGAACAUUGAGCCUGCCCAAAGAUGUCCUCCUCCUCGUGACAUUCCUAUGUUCAAGCCCCAAAAAUGAUGCUGUGCUCGAGUGGAGCCUCAAAAUCAACAAGGCCGAGGCAGAGUUCAAAGAUCAAAACGCAGCAGCUGUCUGCCUCCUCCCAUUGCUUGCAUCCUACUUUCAAGAAAACCUCGGAGAGCUC